rnacentral:rRNA from 1 species
GACGAACGCUGGCGGCGUGCUUAACACAUGCAAGUCGUACGGUAAGGCCCUUUCGGGGGUACACGAGUGGCGAACGGGUGAGUAACACGUGAGUAACCUGCCCACAACUUUGGGAUAACGCUAGGAAACUGGUGCUAAUACUGGAUAUGUGCUCCUGCUGCAUGGUGGGGGUUGGAAAGCUCCGGCGGUUGUGGAUGGACUCGCGGCCCAUCAGCUUGUUGGUGGGGUAGUGGCCUACCAAGGCGGCGACGGGUAGCCGGCCUGAGAGGGUGACCGGCCACAUUGGGACUGAGAUACGGCCCAGGCUCCUACGGGAGGCAGCAGUGGGGAGUAUUGCACAAUGGGCGCAAGCCGGAUGCAGCAACGCCGCGUGCGGGGUGACGGCCUUCGGGUUGUAAACCGCUUUCAGCAGGGACGAAGCUUUUUGUGACGGUACCUGCAGAAGAAGCACCGGCUAACUACGUG